CACUAAGUCCUGGCUUCACAUCAAACUCUCACCACUUCUUCAGCAAAAGCAAACUUCAGGAUACUAAUAAGAAUGGGCAUGACUAACCAAGCAGAGAAAGAGUCUUUCUUAAAUUGAAGAAAGACAUUUCCUUGGAGGAAUCAAAACGAC
rnacentral:lncRNA from 1 species